rnacentral:rRNA from 1 species
AGUGAACGCUGGCGGUAGGCCUAACACAUGCAAGUCGAACGGCAGCACAGUAAGAGCUUGCUCUUACGGGUGGCGAGUGGCGGACGGGUGAGGAAUACAUCGGAAUCUACUUUUUCGUGGGGGAUAACGUAGGGAAACUUACGCUAAUACCGCAUACGACCUACGGGUGAAAGCAGGGGAUCUUCGGACCUUGCGCGAUUGAAUGAGCCGAUGUCGGAUUAGCUAGUUGGCGGGGUAAAGGCCCACCAAGGCGACGAUCCGUAGCUGGUCUGAGAGGAUGAUCAGCAACAGUGGAACUGAGACACGGUCAAGACUCCUACGGGAGGCAGCGGUGGGGAAUAUUGGACAAUGGGCGAAAGCCUGAUCCAGCCAUACUGCGUGGGUGAAGAAGGCCUUCGGGUUGUAAAGCCCUUUUGUUGGGAAAGAAAAGCAGCAGGUUAAUACCCCGCUGUUCUGACGGUACCCAAAGAAUAAGCACCGGCUAACUUCGU